ACAGAAGGGAGCUUGCUCCCGGAUGUUAGCGGCGGACGGGCUGAGUAACACGUGGGUAACCUGCCUGUAAGACUGGGAUAACUCCGGGAAACCGGAGCUAAUACCGGAUAGUUCCUUGAACCGCAUGGUUCAAGGAUGAAAGACGGUUUCGGCUGUCACUUACAGAUGGACCCGCGGCGCAUUAGCUAGUUGGUGAGGUAACGGCUCACCAAGGCGACGAUGCGUAGCCGACCUGAGAGGGUGAUCGGCCACACUGGGACUGAGACACGGCCCAGACUCCUACGGGAGGCAGCAGUAGGGAAUCUUCCGCAAUGGACGAAAGUCUGACGGAGCAACGCCGCGUGAGUGAUGAAGGUUUUCGGAUCGUAAAGCUCUGUUGUUAGGGAAGAACAAGUGCAAGAGUAACUGCUUGCACCUUGACGGUACCUAACCAGAAAGCCACGGCUAACUACGUGCCAGCAGCCGCGGUAAUACGUAGGUGGCAAGCGUUGUCCGGAAUUAUUGGGCGUAAAGGGCUCGCAGGCGGUUUCUUAAGUCUGAUGUGAAAGCCCCCGGCUCAACCGGGGAGGGUCAUUGGAAACUGGGAAACUUGAGUGCAGAAGAGGAGAGUGGAAUUCCACGUGUAGCGGUGAAAUGCGUAGAGAUGUGGAGGAACACCAGUGGCGAAGGCGACUCUCUGGUCUGUAACUGACGCUGAGGA
rnacentral:rRNA from 1 species